rnacentral:rRNA from 1 species
UACGUAGGGGGCAAGCGUUAUCCGGAUUUACUGGGCGUAAAGCGCGUUAAGGCGGUUGGCAAAGUUGGUUGUGAAAUUUCGGGGCUCAACCCCGAAACUGCGUCCAAUACUGGUCGACUUGAGUACGAGAGAGGAAGGUGGAAUGCUUGGUGUAGAGGUGAAAUUCGUAGAUAUCAAGCGGAACACCGGUGGCGAAGGCGGCCUUCUGGACAGUGACUGACGCUGAGACGCGAAAGCGUGGGGAGCAAACAGG